AACGAACGCUGGCGGCAUGCCUAACACAUGCAAGUCGAACGAAGGCUUCGGCCUUAGUGGCGCACGGGUGAGUAACGCGUGGGAAACUGCCUAUUGGUGGGGAAUAACGACGGGAAACUGUCGCUAAUACCGCAUAAGCCCUUCGGGGGAAAGAUUUAUCGCCGAUAGAUGUGCCCGCGUCCGAUAGCUAGUUGGUGAGGUAAUGGCUCACCAAGGCGACGAUCGGUAGCUGGUCUGAGAGGAUGAUCAGCCACACUGGGACUGAGACACGGCCCAGACUCCUACGGGGGGCAGCAGUGGGGAAUAUUGGACAAUGGGCGAAAGCCUGAUCCAGCAAUGCCGCGUGAGUGAUGAAGGCCUUAGGGUUGUAAAGCUCUUUCGGGUGGGACGAUGAUGACGGUACCACCAGAAGAAGCCCCGGCUAACUUCGUGCCAGCCGCCGCGGUAA
rnacentral:rRNA from 1 species